UACGUAGGGGGCUAGCGUUGUCCGGAUUUAUUGGGCGUAAAGAGCGUGUAGGCGGCCAGAUAGGUCUGCUGUGAAAACUCGAGGCUCAACCUCGAGAUGUCGGCGGAAACCAUUUGGCUAGAGUCCGGAAGAGGAAAGUGGAAUUCCUGGUGUAGCGGUGAAAUGCGCAGAUAUCAGGAAGAACACCAAUGGCGAAGGCAGCUCGCUGGAACGGUACUGACGCUGAGGCGCGAAAGCGUGGGGAGCGAACAGG
rnacentral:rRNA from 1 species